AUUAGAUGAGCCUAUAUUAGAUUAGCUAGUUGGUGGAGUAAUAGCCUACCAAGGCAAUGAUCUAUAGCUGAUCUGAGAGGAUGAUCAGCCACACUGGAACUGAGAUACGGUCCAGACUCCUACGGGAGGCAGCAGUGGGGAAUAUUGGACAAUGGGCGAAAGCCUGAUCCAGCUAUGCCGCAUGAGUGAAGAAGGCCUUUGGGUUGUAAAGCUCUUUUAGUGAGGAAGAUAAUGACGGUACUCACAGAAGAAGUCCUGGCUAACUCCGUGCCAGCAGCCGCGGUAAUACGGAGAGGGCUAGCGUUAUUCGGAAUUAUUGGGCGUAAAGGGCGCGUAGGCUGAUUAAUAAGUUAAAAGUGAAAUCCCGAGGCUUAACCUUGGAAUUGCUUUUAAAACUAUUAAUCUAGAGAUUGAAAGAGGAUAGAGGAAUUCCUGAUGUAGAGGUAAAAUUCUUCAAUAUUAGGAGGAACACCAGUGGCGAAGGCGUCUAUCUGGUUCAAAUCUGACGCUGAGGCGCGAAGGCGUGGGGAGCAAACAGGAUUAGAUACCCUGGUACUCCACGCUAUAAACGAUGAAUGUUAAAUAUGGGAAG
rnacentral:rRNA from 1 species